UUUCGAAUCAUUCACAAUGGGCGAAAGCCUGAUGGUGCGACGCCGCGUGAGGGAUGAAGGCCUUCGGGUCGUAAACCUCUGUCACCGGGGAAGAAACGCUGCAAUUUAACAGAUUGCAGCCUGACUUAACCCGGAGAGGAAGCAGUGGCUAACUCUGUGCCAGCAGCCGCGGUAAUACAGAGACUGCAAGCGUUAUUCGGAUUCACUGGGCGUAAAGGGUGCGCAGGCGGCCAUGUGUGUCAGGUGUGAAAGCCCGAGGCUCAACCUCGGAAUUGCGCCUGAAACUACAUGGCUAGAGUACUGGAGAGGGUAGCGGAAUUCAUGGUGUAGCAGUGAAAUGCGUAGAUAUCAUGAGGAACACCAGAGGCGAAGGCGGCUACCUGGACAGUUACUGACGCUCAGGCACGAAAGCGUGGGGAGCAAAAGGG
rnacentral:rRNA from 1 species